GCCGAAAUAGCUCAGUUGGUAGAGCACUUCACUCGUAAUGAAGGGGGCGUCGGUUCAAGUCCGAUUUUCGGCU
rnacentral:tRNA from 2 species